rnacentral:rRNA from 1 species
AACGAACGCUGGCGGCAUGCCUAACACAUGCAAGUCGAACGAGACCUUCGGGUCUAGUGGCGCACGGGUGCGUAACGCGUGGGAACCUGCCCUUAGGUUCGGAAUAACUCCCCGAAAGGGGUGCUAAUACCGGAUAAUGUCUUCGGACCAAAGAUUUAUCGCCUUUGGAUGGGCCCGCGUUGGAUUAGCUAGUUGGUAGGGUAAAAGCCUACCAAGGCGACGAUCCAUAGCUGGUCUGAGAGGAUGAUCAGCCACACUGGGACUGAGACACGGCCCAGACUCCUACGGGAGGCAGCAGGGGGGAAUAUUGGACAAUGGGCGAAAGCCUGAUCCAGCAAUGCCGCGUGAGUGAUGAAGGCCUUAGGGUUGUAAAGCUCUUUUACCCGGGAUGAUAAUGACAGUACCGGGAGAAUAAGCCCCGGCUAACUCCGU